rnacentral:rRNA from 1 species
UACAGAGGGGGCAAGCGUUGUUCGGAAUUACUGGGCGUAAAGCGCACGUAGGCGGUUCGUUAUGUCGGAUGUGAGAGCCCUUGGCUUAACCGAGGAAGUGCAUCCGAAACUGGCGAGCUAGAGUACGAAAGAGGAUCGCGGAAUUCCCGGUGUAGAGGUGAAAUUCGUAGAUAGUCGGGAGGAACACCGGUGGCGAAGGCGGCGAUCUGGGUCGAUACUGACGCUGAGGUGCGAAAGCGUGGGGGAGCAAACAGG